rnacentral:rRNA from 1 species
AUUGAACGCUGGCGGCAGGCCUAACACAUGCAAGUCGAACGAGUGGCGGACGGGUGAGUAAUGUCUGGGAACCUGCCUGAUGGAGGGGGAUAACUACUGGAAACGGUAGCUAAUACCGCAUACCCUCAGAUGUGCCCAGAUGGAAUUAGCUUGUUGGUGGGGUAACGGCUCACCAAGGCAACGAUCCGUAGCUGGUAUGAGAGGAUGACCAGCCACACUGGAACUGAGACACGGUCCAGACUCCUACGGGAGGCAGCAGUGGGGAAUAUUGCACAAUGGGCGAAAGCCUGAUCCAGCCAUGCCGCGUGUAUGAAGAAGGCCUUCGGGUUGUAAAGUACUUUAAGCUGGGAGGCGUUACCCGCAGAAGAAGCACCGGCUAACUUCGUGCCAGCAGCCGCGGUAAUAC